rnacentral:rRNA from 1 species
CUACGGGGGGCAGCAGUGAGGAAUUUUGCGCAAUGGGGGAAACCCUGACGCAGCAACGCCGCGUGAGUGAUGAAGGCCUUCGGGUCGUAAAGCUCUGUCAAGUGGGAAGAACCCACCCUGUGCUAAUAUCACAGGGUGCUGACGGUACCACUGAAGGAAGCACCGGCUAACUCCGUGCCAGCAGCCGCGGUAAUACGGAGGGUACAAGCGUUAUUCGGAAUUACUGGGCGUAAAGGGCGCGUAGGCGGCCUUUUAAGUCAGAUGUGAAAUCCCGGGGCUCAACCCCGGAAGUGCAGCUGAAACUAAGAGGCUUGAGUAUGGGAGAGGGAAGUGGAAUUCCUGGUGUAGAGGUGAAAUUCGUAGAUAUCAGGAGGAACACCGGUGGCGAAGGCGACUUCCUGGACCAAUACUGACGCUGAGGCGCGAAGGCGUGGGGAGCAAACAGGAUUAGAUACCCUAGUAGUC